rnacentral:rRNA from 1 species
UACGGAGGGGGCAAGCGUUGUUCGGAAUUACUGGGCGUAAAGGGCGCGUAGGCGGCGCUCCAAGUUAGGCGUGAAAGCCCCGGGCUCAACCUGGGAAUAGCGCUUAAGACUGGAGUGCUUGAGUGCGGGAGAGGUGAGUGGAAUUCCCAGUGUAGAGGUGAAAUUCGUAGAUAUUGGGAAGAACACCAGUGGCGAAGGCGGCUCACUGGCCCGCAACUGACGCUGAGGCGCGAAAGCGUGGGGAGCAAACAGG